AAAAAAAAAAAAAAAAAAAGUUGAACUCGUGUAGUUCCUCAUCAAUCUAAAACACACGGGCUUUUCUAAUUUUUUUUUUUUCUAAUCCCAGUUAUAAAUUUAAUUUAUAAAAUAGACAAAGGCUAAAAGUAGAUCAAAUAAUAGAGAUAAUGGAUUCCCCAAGAGCGAUAAGGCAAUAAAUACCUCAGAAAGUAAUCUAGAGAGAAG
rnacentral:misc_RNA from 1 species